CCUACGGGGGGCAGCAGUAGGGAAUAUUGCUCAAUGGGGGAAACCCUGAAGCAGCAACGCCGCGUGGAGGAAGAAGGUUUUAGGAUUGUAAACUCCUUUUGUUAGAGAAGAGAAUGACGGUACCUAACGAAUAAGCAACGGCUAACGCCGUGCCAGCAGCCGUGGUAAUACGGAGGGUGCAAGCGUUAUACGGAAUAACUGGGCGUAAAGAGCGCGUAGGCGGGAUAGCAAGUCAGAUGUGAAAUCCUAUGGCUUAACCCUAGAACUGCCUCUGAAACUGUUAUUCUAGAGUUUGGGUGAGGUAGGUGGAAUGCUUGGUGUAGCGGUCAAAUCCGUAGAGAUCAAGAAGAAUACUCAUUGCGAAGGCGGCCUGCUAGAACAUAACUGACGCUGAUGCACGAAAGCGUGGGGAGUAAACAGGAUUAGAUACCCUAGUAGUC
rnacentral:rRNA from 1 species